rnacentral:rRNA from 1 species
GACGAACGCUGGCGGCGUGCCUAAUACAUGCAAGUCGAACGGUCUUUUCUAUGGAAGCUUGCUUCCACUGAGAAGAUAGUGGCGAACGGGUGAGUAACACGUGGGUAACCUGCCCAUAAGAGGGGGAUAACAUCCGGAAACGGGUGCUAAUACCGCAUAGUUUUCUUGAUCGCAUGAUCGAGAAAGGAAAGACGGCCUUUGUGCUGUCGCUUAUGGAUGGACCCGCGGCGUAUUAGUUAGUUGGUGAGGUAACGGCUCACCAAGGCGAUGAUACGUAGCCGACCUGAGAGGGUGAUCGGCCACAUUGGGACUGAGACACGGCCCAAACUCCUACGGGAGGCAGCAGUAGGGAAUCUUCCGCAAUGGACGAAAGUCUGACGGAGCAACGCCGCGUGAGUGAAGAAGGUUUUCGGAUCGUAAAACUCUGUUGUCAGAGAAGAACAAGUCGGAGAGUAACUGCUCCGGCCUUGACGGUAUCUGACCAGAAAGCCACGGCUAACUACGUGCCAGCAGCCGCUGUAACAC